rnacentral:pre_miRNA from 14 species
UUUUUAAACAUUUAUUUAUUAUGUAUACAUUGAAAGACCCCCGAAGGGAGCCCCCCACUCAAGUCUCGGGAAAGACGCGCACCCAGUAGGACACAGACACCG